rfam:Trichobilharzia regenti genome assembly, scaffold: TRE_scaffold0080828
GUACUGAUGAAGAGUCCAAAACUAGGACGAAACAGCUGUUCAGUAC